GGCGGUGCCGGGGUGGGAGCUGGCGGCUGGGCCUGGGCGAGCGGGCGUCCUUCCACGGGUCUCCUCCACCGCCUUCCGUCCGCGGCUCUUUGCGUGUCAGUAGUCUCAGCGGGUUGAUUCAGGACAAACCUCCGGACUGUGAGCGCGUUUCAAGGGCAGCACUCGCCCCCGCGGUUGCCUGGAGGGGCGCUGGAGGAGGUGACAUAGCUAGGGACUCCAGGUCCGCCUGGGAAUGAUCCACGAACUGCUUUUGGCUCUGAGCGCGUACCCAGGGUCCAUUUUCACCUGGAACAAACGGAGUGGCCUCCAGGUGUCUGUCCCAGGGCCUCAGUAGAUGAGUACACUUUCCCCAGAUUCGUCAGUGGUACUGACACAUGCUGACUCCUUUGCUGCAUUACCAUGAAGUCUUUCCAGAUUUUAAACCACUCACAAAUAAGCACCUUCUGCCAAUUGAUCUAAGGAGACUGGUAGCCCUUUCCAGAGUAGUUAAUGAAGAUGGUAAUGAGAUUGGGCUGAACUCUGAUCCCAGAUGGCCUGCUGUGGACACCUUGACCUCGUUGAGGACUGUAAUGCCACUCACUGCUGCCCUUUGUCAGUUUUGCUAUUGUGUUCUUUGACAGUUUCCAAUACUGAUGACAGUGCUCAUAUCCAAACCAAUUUACAGUUAAUCUCACAGGCAGGCUCUCAUCAUCAAACUCUCAAACAAUUUGCAGAGAUGUCAACAUAUAAUACGAUGCAUUUGUUUUAUGUAAUAUAAUUCUAUCAGAAAGCCAGUCAAGGAUUUCUAACAUUUUUAUUCUCAUAACACAAAGUAGCAUAUCCAUUUAUAUUUUUAGCUAUGUGGCUGAUGGCUUUGUUUGGAAAUGAAGUUAUAAUUACCAGUGGUUUUUCUUGAAUCGUAGGAACAAAAUAUUUCACAGACAGAAGGAGACUAACAGGUCAUCUGCUAAAAACUCUCAUGUUUGUCCUUUUAUAUAUUCUCCCUAUUUGGCCCAUGAAAUACACUGGGCAGGAACUACCACACCAUUCUAUAGUUGAGGGGACUGUAUUUGAAAGAAAUAACAUGACUUGCUCAAGGUAAAAACAGUUAACAAAUGGUGCAUUAGCCUGGAACCCAAAUCUUUUGAUUUUUUGAUUACUUCUUUUUGUACUUUAGUGUGCUACCAUAAAAAGUAUAAAUACUCUCAGAGGGCUGUCAAAGUUAAAUAAUAUGAGUGGACAGUGGAUUGAAAAGUAUCUGUGUUUGAAAAACCAGGUAUUAUCAAAUAGGUAAAUGAUAGAAUUGUAGCCAGCAUGGAAAGUAUAUGCCUAAAACAUCCACAGAAGACAUUGCCCAAGACGUUGUUCUGGCCAAACAUACUGCAUAUAUUGAUUGCAUUUGGCCAGUGGGCUGCCCAGUUAUGACUCUUAUUUCAAUAUCUGAGAAAGGAAUGUUCCCUCAGCUCCUGUUCCCUCAAUCCCUAGUUUUUUAAUAUUUUGUCUUUGUGAGAAUGUUUGAUAUUUUCCUUCCCUUAUUCCUCUGUCAAGUAUUCAAAUCCUCAGGUUUUUAUAUUCAUUUUUGAAAAUCAUAUUCUUAACACAGACCACAUUAGACAUACAGUUAUCAUUAUGAUUAAGAUGAUUUAUGUAGAACAUAAGAGACACAGUCAAAAUUACUAGUGGGUUUCAAGAAGAGAUUUUUCCCUAGGGACUGAUAAAUGUGCAGAAACUUCCUGGAAGUUAUGAUACUUUAUCUGAGAUUUCAAUAAAUGGGCAGCCUUUAGAUGACAAUGAGAUUUAUCCUAUGGUCUCCAAAUUGAGAUACUCAAAACAAUCCAUUUAAAAAUUAAAAUAUUAUAUCUCUACUGAUUUUGUCUAUUCCUACUUAACAUUUUAUUUAAAUAUCAUAUAUAAAAACAUGUGUAGACUAAUAUCUAUAUGUAAAUUGUAAACAGACAUGUAUGUAAUUUCAGUAUGUUCUUAAAAUUUUUUUGAGUGAAAGUUGAGAUCAAGAGUUUGAAAACUCAUUGUAACCUAUGAUUGCA